rnacentral:rRNA from 1 species
AAUCAACGCUGGCGGCGUGCCUCAGACAUGCAAGUCGAACGCGAAAGUCCCCUUCGGGGGACAAGUAGAGUGGCGCACGGGUGAGUAACACGUAGGUAAUCUACCUUCGGAUGGGGAAUAACAACCGGAAACGGUUGCUAAUACCGCAUAAUGCAGCGGCACCUAAUGGUGACAGUUGUUAAAGCGGGGGAUCGAAAGACCCCGCGUCUGAAGAGGAGCCUGCGGCGGAUUAGCUAGUUGGAAGGUAAUGGCUUACCAAGGCGACGAUCCGUAGCCGGCCUGAGAGGGCGGUCGGCCACACUGACACUGACAUACGGGUCAGACUCCUACGGGAGGCAGCAGUCGGGAAUUUUGGGCAAUGGGCGAAAGCCUGACCCAGCAACGCCGCGUGAAGGAUGAAAUCCCU